CUCAAUGUAUAAGAUACACUAAAACGAAAAACGAACUUCAGCUCCUCUCUUCUGUGAGAGUUUCUUUCUCUUCGGCUGGGGUCGGGUGAUGUGUCCUUUCUCCCUUUUCUCCUUCUUUUCUCCCUGCAUCCACUAUUGGUUCUCCCCAAUUUUCAAUUCAGCCUAUCCAAUUCCUCCAACUCCGUGGGUUUUCUUCUUCCUGGUUCUUCCUUGCUUCGUUUUUCAGCCAUGUCCUCUAUAGAGUUCGUGUGUAGAGUUCCGGCGCUUGCACCGACUCGGGUGUUUUCCAUACCAUCAUGUUCUCCUUUGUGUGGGCCGCUUGCGGAGAUGAUCGGCAGUGGUCAAAGAAUUGGCUUGCUGGCAGUUCCUUGGACCGUUGGUGAAGAAGGCAAUGGAUGCUUCUCGGAUGUUCUUUGGUUUUGAGCUUUUGGGUUCAUUCUCUGUUUCUGUUGUUUUUUCUUUCUAUUUAGGCCCUUUUUGGUUGUUUAUAGAUGUUUGUUGGGCAUUUAUCUGUUUGUAAAUUUGUGUUUUGGUUGGAAUAAAAUCUUCCCCUUGACAAAAAAAAAAAAAA